UUCGGGGCUCUUUGGUGAUUCAUGAUAACUUAACGGAUCGCAUGGCCUUGCGCCGGCGACGGUUCAUUCAAAUUUCUGCCCUAUCAACUUUCGAUGGUAAGGUAUUGGCUUACCAUGGUUUCAACGGGUAACGGGGAAUCAGGGUUCGAUUCCGGAGAGGGAGCCUGAGAAACGGCUACCACAUCCAAGGAAGGCGGCAGGCGCGCAAAUUACCCAAUCCCGACACGGGGAGGUAGUGACAAUAAAUACUGAUACAGGGCUCUUUUGGGUCUUGUAAUCGGAAUGAGUACAAUUUAAACCCCUUAACGAGGAACAAUUGGAGGGCAAGUCUGGUGCCAGCAGCCGCGGUAAUUCCAGCUCCAAUAGCGUAUAUUAAAGUUGUUGCAGUUAAAAAGCUCGUAGUUGAACCUUGGGCCUGGCUGGCCGGUCCGCCUCACCGCGUGUACUGGUCCGGCCGGGCCUUUCCUUCUGGAGAGCCCCAUGCCCUUCACUGGGCGUGUGGGGGAACCAGGACUUUUACUUUGAAAAAAUUAGAGUGUUCAAAGCAGGCCUUUGCUCGAAUACGUUAGCAUGGAAUAAUAGAAUAGGACGUGCGGUCCUAUUUUGUUGGUUUCUAGGACCGCCGUAAUGAUUAAUAGGAAUAGUCGGGGGCAUCAGUAUUCAAUUGUCAGAGGUGAAACUCUGUGAUUUAUUGAAGACUAACUACUGCCAAAGCAUUUGCCAAGGAUGUUUUCAUUAAUCAGUGAACGAAAAUUAGGGGAUCGAAGACGAUCAGAUACCGUCGUAGUCUUA
rnacentral:rRNA from 1 species